AACGAACGCUGGCGGCAUGCCUAACACAUGCAAGUCGAACGAAGCCUUCGGGCUUAGAGGCGCACGGGUGCGUAACGCGUGGGAAUCUGCCCUUGGGUUCGGAAUAACAGUUAGAAAUGACUGCUAAUACCGGAUGAUGUCUUCGGACCAAAGAUUUAUCGCCCAAGGAUGAGCCCGCGUAGGAUUAGGUAGUUGGUGGGGUAAUGGCCCACCAAGCCGACGAUCCUUAGCUGGUCUGAGAGGAUGAUCAGCCACACUGGGACUGAGACACGGCCCAGACUCCUACGGGAGGCAGCAGUGGGGAAUAUUGGACAAUGGGCGAAAGCCUGGUCCAGCAAUGCCGCGUGAGUGAUGAAGGCCUUAGGGUUGUAAAGCUCUUUUACCAGGGAUGAUAAUGACAGUACCUGGAGAAUAAGCUCCGGCUAACUCCGUGCCAGCCGCCGCGGUAA
rnacentral:rRNA from 1 species